GGGUUGUGAGGUUAAGCGACUAAGCGUACACGGUGGAUGCCCUGGCAGUCAGAGGCGAUGAAGGACGUGCUAAUCUGCGAAAAGCGUCGGUAAGGUGAUAUGAACCGUUACAGCCGGCGAUGUCCGAAUGGGGAAACCCAGUGUGAUUCGUCACACUAUCGUUAACUGAAUACAUAGGUUAACGAGGCGAACCGGGGGAACUGAAACAUCUAAGUACCCCGAGGAAAAGAAAUCAACC
rnacentral:rRNA from 2 species